rnacentral:rRNA from 1 species
GACUUCGGUUGAAGUCGUUAUAAUCCUAGUGGCGGACGGGUGAGUAACGCGUGGGUAACCUGCCUCACACUGGGGGAUAACAGUCAGAAAUGACUGCUAAUACCGCAUAAGCGCACGGGAUUGCAUGAUCCAGAUGUGAAAAACUCCGGUGGUGUGAGAUGGACCCAGCGUUGGAUUAGCCAGUUGGCAGGGUAACGGCCUACCAAAGCGACGAUCCAUAGCCGGCCUGAGAGGGUGGACGGCCACAUUGGGACUGAGACACGGCCCAGACUCCUACGGGAGGCAGCAGUGGGGAAUAUUGCACAAUGGGGGAAACCCUGAUGCAGCGACGCCGCGUGAAGGAAGAAGUAUCUCGGUAUGUAAACUUCUAUCAGCAGGGAAGAAAAUGACGGUACCUGACUAAGAAGCCCCGGCUAACUACGUGCCAGCAGCCGCGGUAAUACGUAGGGGGCAAGCGUUAUCCGGAUUUACUGGGUGUAAAGGGAGCGUAGACGGAGCAGCAAGUCUGAUGUGAAAGGCGGGGGCUCAACCCCCGGACUGCAUUGGAAACUGUUGAUCUUGAGUACCGGAGAGGUAACGCGGAAUUCCUAGUGUAGCCGGUGAAAUGCGUAGAUAUUAGGAGGAACACCAGUGGCGAAGGCGGCUUACUGGACGGUAACUGACG